rnacentral:rRNA from 1 species
GGUUAAGCGACUAAGCGUACACGGUGGAUGCCCUGGCAGUCAGAGGCGAUGAAGGACGUGCUAAUCUGCGAUAAGCGUCGGUAAGGUGAUAUGAACCGUUAUAACCGGCGAUUUCCGAAUGGGGAAACCCAGUGUGUUUCGACACACUAUCAUUAACUGAAUCCAUAGGUUAAUGAGGCGAACCGGGGGAACUGAAACAUCUAAGUACCCCGAGGAAAAGAAAUCAACCGAGAUUCCCCCAGUAGCGGCGAGCGAACGGGGAGCAGCCCAGAGCCUGAAUCAGUGUGUGUGUGUUAGUGGAAGCGUCUGGAAAGGCGCGCGAUACAGGGUGACAGCCCCGUACACAAAAAUGCACAUGCUGUGAGCUCGAUGAGUAGGGCGGGACACGUGGUAUCCUGUCUGAAUAUGGGGGGACCAUCCUCCAAGGCUAAAUACUCCUGACUGACCGAUAGUGAACCAGUACCGUGAGGGAAAGGCGAAAAGAACCCCGGCGAGGGGAGUGAAAAAGAACCUGAAACCGUGUACGUACAAGCAGUGGGAGCACGCUUAGGCGUGUGACUGCGUACCUUUUGUAUAAUGGGUCAGCGACUUAUAUUCUGUAGCAAGGUUAACCGAAUAGGGGAGCCGAAGGGAAACCGAGUCUUAACUGGGCGUUAAGUUGCAGGGUAUAGACCCGAAACCCGGUGAUCUAGCCAUGGGCAGGUUGAAGGUUGGGUAACACUAACUGGAGGACCGAACCGACUAAUGUUGAAAAAUUAGCGGAUGACUUGUGGCUGGGGGUGAAAGGCCAAUCAAACCGGGAGAUAGCUGGUUCUCCCCGAAAGCUAUUUAGGUAGCGCCUCGUGAAUUCAUCUCCGGGGGUAGAGCACUGUUUCGGCAAGGGGGUCAUCCCGACUUACCAACCCGAUGCAAACUGCGAAUACCGGAGAAUGUUAUCACGGGAGACACACGGCGGGUGCUAACGUCCGUCGUGAAGAGGGAAACAACCCAGACCGCCAGCUAAGGUCCCAAAGUCAUGGUUAAGUGGGAAACGAUGUGGGAAGGCCCAGACAGCCAGGAUGUUGGCUUAGAAGCAGCCAUCAUUUAAAGAAAGCGUAAUAGCUCACUGGUCGAGUCGGCCUGCGCGGAAGAUGUAACGGGGCUAAACCAUGCACCGAAGCUGCGGCAGCGACGCUUAUGCGUUGUUGGGUAGGGGAGCGUUCUGUAAGCCUGUGAAGGUGUGCUGUGAGGCAUGCUGGAGGUAUCAGAAGUGCGAAUGCUGACAUAAGUAACGAUAAAGCGGGUGAAAAGCCCGCUCGCCGGAAGACCAAGGGUUCCUGUCCAACGUUAAUCGGGGCAGGGUGAGUCGACCCCUAAGGCGAGGCCGAAAGGCGUAGUCGAUGGGAAACAGGUUAAUAUUCCUGUACUUGGUGUUACUGCGAAGGGGGGACGGAGAAGGCUAUGUUGGCCGGGCGACGGUUGUCCCGGUUUAAGCGUGUAGGCUGGUUUUCCAGGCAAAUCCGGAAAAUCAAGGCUGAGGCGUGAUGACGAGGCACUACGGUGCUGAAGCAACAAAUGCCCUGCUUCCAGGAAAAGCCUCUAAGCAUCAGGUAACAUCAAAUCGUACCCCAAACCGACACAGGUGGUCAGGUAGAGAAUACCAAGGCGCUUGAGAGAACUCGGGUGAAGGAACUAGGCAAAAUGGUGCCGUAACUUCGGGAGAAGGCACGCUGAUAUGUAGGUGAAGUCCCUCGCGGAUGGAGCUGAAAUCAGUCGAAGAUACCAGCUGGCUGCAACUGUUUAUUAAAAACACAGCACUGUGCAAACACGAAAGUGGACGUAUACGGUGUGACGCCUGCCCGGUGCCGGAAGGUUAAUUGAUGGGGUCAGCGCAAGCGAAGCUCUUGAUCGAAGCCCCGGUAAACGGCGGCCGUAACUAUAACGGUCCUAAGGUAGCGAAAUUCCUUGUCGGGUAAGUUCCGACCUGCACGAAUGGCGUAAUGAUGGCCAGGCUGUCUCCACCCGAGACUCAGUGAAAUUGAACUCGCUGUGAAGAUGCAGUGUACCCGCGGCAAGACGGAAAGACCCCGUGAACCUUUACUAUAGCUUGACACUGAACAUUGAGCCUUGAUGUGUAGGAUAGGUGGGAGGCUUAGAAGUGUGGACGCCAGUCUGCAUGGAGCCGACCUUGAAAUACCACCCUUUAAUGUUUGAUGUUCUAACGUUGACCCGUAAUCCGGGUUGCGGACAGUGUCUGGUGGGUAGUUUGACUGGGGCGGUCUCCUCCUAAAGAGUAACGGAGGAGCACGAAGGUUGGCUAAUCCUGGUCGGACAUCAGGAGGUUAGUGCAAUGGCAUAAGCCAGCUUGACUGCGAGCGUGACGGCGCGAGCAGGUGCGAAAGCAGGUCAUAGUGAUCCGGUGGUUCUGAAUGGAAGGGCCAUCGCUCAACGGAUAAAAGGUACUCCGGGGAUAACAGGCUGAUACCGCCCAAGAGUUCAUAUCGACGGCGGUGUUUGGCACCUCGAUGUCGGCUCAUCACAUCCUGGGGCUGAAGUAGGUCCCAAGGGUAUGGCUGUUCGCCAUUUAAAGUGGUACGCGAGCUGGGUUUAGAACGUCGUGAGACAGUUCGGUCCCUAUCUGCCGUGGGCGCUGGAGAACUGAGGGGGGCUGCUCCUAGUACGAGAGGACCGGAGUGGACGCAUCACUGGUGUUCGGGUUGUCAUGCCAAUGGCACUGCCCGGUAGCUAAAUGCGGAAGAGAUAAGUGCUGAAAGCAUCUAAGCACGAAACUUGCCCCGAGAUGAGUUCUCCCUGACCCUUUAAGGGUCCUGAAGGAACGUUGAAGACGACGACGUUGAUAGGCCGGGUGUGUAAGCGCAGCGAUGCGUUGAGCUAACCGGUACUAAUGAACCGUGAGGCUUAACCUU